GUCGAGCGGUAAGGCCUUUCGGGGUACACGAGCGGCGAACGGGUGAGUAACACGUGGGUGAUCUGCCCUGCACUCUGGGAUAAGCUUGGGAAACUGGGUCUAAUACCGGAUAUGACCGCAUGNCGCAUGNGGUGUGGUGGAAAGAUUUAUCGGUGCAGGAUGGGCCCGCGGCCUAUCAGCUUGUUGGUGGGGUAAUGGCCUACCAAGGCGACGACGGGUAGCCGANCUGAGAGGGUGACCGGCCACACUGGGACUGAGACACGGCCCAGACUCCUACGGGAGGCAGCAGUGGGGAAUAUUGCACAAUGGGCGGAAGCCUGAUGCAGCGACGCCGCGUGAGGGAUGAAGGCCUUCGGGUUGUAAACCUCUUUCAGCAGGGACGAAGCGUGAGUGACGGUACCUGCAGAAGAAGCACCGGCUAACUACGUGCCAGCAGCCGCGGUAAUACGUAGGGUGCGAGCGUUGUCCGGAAUUACUGGGCGUAAAGAGUUCGUAGGCGGUUUGUCGCGUCGUUUGUGAAAACCCGGGGCUCAACUUCGGGCUUGCAGGCGAUACGGGCAGACUUGAGUGUUUCAGGGGAGACUGGAAUUCCUGGUGUAGCGGUGAAAUGCGCAGAUAUCAGGAGGAACACCGGUGGCGAAGGCGGGUCUCUGGGAAACAACUGACGCUGA
rnacentral:rRNA from 1 species